rnacentral:rRNA from 1 species
UACGUAGGGGGCAAGCGUUGUCCGGAAUCAUUGGGCGUAAAGAGCGCGUAGGCGGCCCUGUAAGUCCGCUGUGAAAGUCAAGGGCUCAACCCUUGAAUGCCGGUGGAUACUGCAGGGCUAGAGUCCGGAAGAGGCGAGUGGAAUUCCUGGUGUAGCGGUGAAAUGCGCAGAUAUCAGGAGGAACACCGAUGGCGAAGGCAGCUCGCUGGGACGGUACUGACGCUGAGGCGCGAAAGCGUGGGGAGCGAACAGG